rnacentral:rRNA from 2 species
AUUAUGGAGAGUUUGAUCCUGGCUCAGGACGAACGCUGGCGGCGUGCCUAAUACAUGCAAGUCGAGCGGAUUUAUCCUUCGGGAUAA